CCUCCAGUAGCUCAGUUGGAUAGAGCAUCGACCUUCUAAGUCGGCGGUCGUAGGUUCGAAUCCUACCUGGGGGG
rnacentral:tRNA from 1 species